UACAGAGGUCCCAAGCGUUGUUCGGAUUCACUGGGCGUAAAGGGUGCGUAGGUGGUGAGGUAAGUCGGAUGUGAAAUCUCCGGGCUCAACUCGGAGGGGUCGGGCGAGACUGCGAGGCUCGAGGUGGGCAGAGGGCAGUGGAAUCCGGGUGUAGUGGUGGAAUGCGCAGAUAUCAGGAGGAACACCUAUAGCGAAGGCAGCUUGCUGGGACGUUACUGACGCUAAGGCGCGAAAGCG
rnacentral:rRNA from 1 species